AGAGUUUGAUCAUGGCUCAGGAUGAACGCUAGCUACAGGCUUAACACAUGCAGGUCGAGGGGCAGCAUGUUGGUUGCUUGCAACCAAUGAUGGCGACCGGCGCACGGGUGAGUAACGCGUAUCCAACCUACCCUUGUCCAUCGGAUAACCCGUCGAAAGGCGGCCUAACACGAUAUGCGGUUCACAGCAGGCAUCUAAGGUGAACGAAAUGUGAAGGAGAAGGAUGGGGAUGCGUCUGAUUAGCUUGUUGGCGGGGUAACGGCCGACCAAGGCUACGAUCAGUAGGGGUUCUGAGAGGAAGGUCCCCACAUUGGAACUGAGACACGGUCCAAACUCCUACGGGAGCA
rnacentral:rRNA from 1 species